CUACUCAUAAAUGAGCCUCCUCUAGGAACCCCGGGUCCCUGCUUGACCUGAUUGUCUCCUCCUGCAGACCCUAAGGCCCCUGAUGUGUAUGACUUCUUCCUCCAGUGGAUUGGGAGAGGCCUGCUGGUUCUUGAGGGGCCCAAGUGGUUGCAGCACCGCAAGCUGCUCACACCUGGCUUUCAUUAUGAUGUGCUGAAGCCCUAUGUGGCCGUGUUCACUGAGUCUACACGUAUCAUGCUGGACAAGUGGGAAGAGAAAGCUCGGGAGGGUAAGUCCUUUGACAUCUUCUGCGAUGUGGGUCACAUGGCGCUGAACACACUCAUGAAGUGCACCUUUGGAAGAGGAGACACCGGCCUGGGCCACAGCAGGGACAGCAGCUACUACCUUGCAGUCAGCGAUCUCACUCUGUUGAUGCAGCAGCGCCUUGUGUCCUUCCAGUACCAUAAUGACUUCAUCUACUGGCUCACCCCACAUGGCCGCCGCUUCCUGCGGGCCUGCCAGGUGGCCCAUGACCAUACAGACCAGGUCAUCAGGGAGCGGAAGGCAGCCCUGCAGGAUGAGAAGGUGCAGAAGAAGAUCCAGAACCGGAGGCACCUGGACUUCCUGGACAUUCUCCUGGGUGCCUGGGAUGAAGAUGACAUCAAACUGUCAGAUGCAGACCUCCGGGCUGAAGUGGACACAUUCAUGUUUGAAGGCCAUGACACCACCACCAGUGGUAUCUCCUGGUUUCUCUACUGCAUGGCCCUGUACCCUGAGCACCAGCAUCGUUGUAGAGAGGAGGUCCGUGAGAUCCUAGGGGACCAGGACUCCUUCCAGUGGGAUGAUCUGGGCAAGAUGACUUAUCUGACCAUGUGCAUCAAGGAGAGCUUCCGCCUCUACCCACCUGUGCCCCAGGUGUACCGCCAGCUCAGCAAGCCUGUCACCUUUGUGGAUGGCCGGUCUCUACCUGCAGGAAGCCUGAUCUCUAUGCAUAUCUAUGCCCUCCAUAGGAACAGUGCUGUAUGGCCCGACCCUGAGGUCUUUGACCCUCUGCGCUUUUCCACUGAGAAUGCAUCCAAACGCCAUCCCUUUGCCUUUAUGCCCUUCUCUGCUGGGCCCAGGAACUGCAUUGGGCAGCAGUUUGCCAUGAGUGAGAUGAAGGUGGUCACAGCCAUGUGCUUGCUCCGCUUUGAGUUCUCUCUGGACCCCUCACGGCUGCCCAUCAAGAUGCCCCAGCUUGUCCUGCGCUCCAAGAAUGGCUUUCACCUCCACCUGAAGCCACUGGGCCCUGGGUCUGGGAAGUAGCUCUGAUGAGAAUGGGGUCCCAGAUGGC
rnacentral:sRNA from 1 species